rnacentral:rRNA from 1 species
GAUGAACGCUGGCGGCGUGCCUAAUACAUGCAAGUCGAGCGAAUGGAUUAAGAGCUUGCUCUUAUGAAGUUAGCGGCGGACGGGUGAGUAACACGUGGGUAACCUGCCCAUAAGACUGGGAUAACUCCGGGAAACCGGGGCUAAUACCGGAUAACAUUUUGAACCGCAUGGUUCGAAAUUGAAAGGUGUCUUCGGCUGUCACUUACGGAUGCACCCGCGUCGCAUUAGCUAGUUGGUGAGGUAACGGACCACAAAGGAAACGAUGCGUAGCCGACCUGAGAGGGUGAUCGGCCACACUGGGACUGAGACACGGCCCAGAAUCCUACGGGAGGCAGCAGUAGGGAAUCUUCCGCAAUGGACGAAAGUCUGACGGAGCAACGCCGCGUGAGUGAUGAAGGCUUUCGGGUCGUAAAACUCUGUUGUUAGGGAAGAACAAGUGCUAGUUGAAUAAGCUUGCACCUUGACGGUACCUAACCAGAAAGCCACGGCUAACUACGUGCCAGCAGCCGCAGUAA